GGGUGACUAGUGACAGAGUGAGGAAGGGGGUGACACAAUGACAGAGUGAGGGGGGGGUGACUAGUGACAGAGUGAAGGAGGUGGUGACUGUCACUAGUCACCCCAUCCCUCCCUCUGUCACUAAUCACCACCUCCCUCACUCUGUCACUAGUCACCCACUCCCUCUCUCUGUCACUAGUCACACCCUCCCUCACUCUGUCACUAGUCACACCCUCCCUCUCUCUGUCACUAGUCACACC